rnacentral:rRNA from 1 species
UGCAAACGUUGCUCGGAAUUAUUGGGCGUAAAGCGCGCGUAGGCGGCUACUUAAGUCGGAUGUGAAAGCCCCUGGCUCAACUGGGGAAGUGCACCCGAAACUGAGUAGCUAGAGUGCAAAAGAGGGUCGCGGAAUUCCCGGUGUAGAGGUGAAAUUCGUAGAUAUCGGGAGGAACACCGGUGGCGAAGGCGGCGACCUGGGUUGACACUGACGCUGAGGCGCGAAAGCGUGGGGAGCAAACAGG